rnacentral:lncRNA from 1 species
GAUUUGUGAACAGGGCCUGGGGGUGGAGGGGAGGUUGGGACCUGUCAGAGGCAGCAGGGCUGAAGAAGGUUUGUGAACAGGGCCCUGGGGUGGAGGGGAGCUGGGGAUCUGUCAGGAAGGAGGGCUCAUCCCUGCCUUCACCAAGCCCACCCACCAGCAGGCAGCCUUUCUAGGAGCUGGUUCUUUCUAAGGAUACCAGGCUCCUUCCUGGAAGUCUUUGAUUGUCCUGCAACAAGUGCAUUGAUGACAAAAUGGAAUGCAGUGCUCAGCCCUCCUGGCCUCCUGCCUGAUUCUCUUCGGAGUGCACCACAUGGGUGGAAGAGCUGCCCCCACCACAUACAGCCCUCACCCACAGUGUGAUGGGUAGAACCAGGACCAGAUCUACCGGGAGCCCUCCUCCCACACACCGUGGCUUCUAUGAAAGGACUAAAUUUAGGACCUGAAACCAGCUGAAAUGGGGACAGCAGAGCCUGCUGCGCCGCAGCUGCCCAUCCAGAACUCUUUCCUACAACCUCCAUCAUGAUCAGCCCUGGAAACCAAACCACCACCUCUGCAGCAAUUGGCCCAGAAGGAUCAGGACUUGGUCAAUGAUUGCCAGUGACUGCCAGUUUCCUUGUGUCCCCCUGACACCCUCCCCACCAGUACAACCGCCACAUCCAACUCAGGACCAAUCAAUCACGUAGGAUGUCCAGCUUCUAGUUAGCUGCCUCCAGCACCCCCAUGCCAGCAGCCUCCGGUGAGGGCACACCUGAAGCCUUCCCUUUUUCUCACUGCAAAUCUUCCUCACUCUGCCUGACUUUGAGUCUUUGCCGAAUAUAUGUAGUGGUGGCCAACUCCCUUGCUAUGGCUCUGAAUAAAAAGCCUCUGUGUGGUCU